rnacentral:rRNA from 1 species
ACCUCAGUAACGGCGAGUGAAGCGGUAACAGCUCAAAUUUGAAAUCUGGGUCUUUCAGGCUCCGAGUUGUAAUUUGUAGAAGAUGCUUCGGGUGCGGCUCCGGUCUAAGUUCCUUGGAACAGGACGUCAUAGAGGGUGAGAAUCCCGUAUGUGAUCGGCCGCUUGCGCCCAUGUGAAGCUCUUUCGACGAGUCGAGUUGUUUGGGAAUGCAGCUCCAAAUGGGUGGUAUAUUUCAUCUAAAGCUAAAUAUUGGCCAGAGACCGAUAGCGCACAAGUAGAGUGAUCGAAAGAUGAAAAGCACUUUGGAAAGAGAGUUAAACAGUACGUGAAAUUGUUGAAAGGGAAGCGCUUGCAACCAGACUUGCGUGUUGUUGAUCAUCCGGGGUUCUCCCCGGUGCACUCGACCUCACUCAGGCCAGCAUCGGUUUCGGUGGUUGGAUAAAGGCCUUGGGAAUGUAGCUCCUCUCGGGGAGUGUUAUAGCCCUCGGUGCAAUGCAGCCUACCGGGACCGAGGACCGCGCUUCGGCUAGGAUGCUGGCGUAAUGGUUGUAAGCGACCCGUCUUGAAACACGGACCAAGGAGUCUAACAUCUAUGCGAGUGUUUGGGUGUCAAACCCAUACGCGUAAUGAAAGUGAACGGAGGUGAGAACCCUUAAGGGUGCAUCAUCGACCGAUCCUGAUGUCUUCGGAUGGAUUUGAGUAAGAGCAUAGCUGUUGGGACCCGAAAGAUGGUGAACUAUGCCUGAAUAGGGUGAAGCCAGAGGAAACUCUGGUGGAGGCUCGCAGCGGUUCUGACGUGCAAAUCGAUCGUCAAAUUUGGGUAUAGGGGCGAAAGACUAAUCGAACCAUCUAGUAGCUGGUUCCUGCCGAA